rnacentral:rRNA from 1 species
AUGAAAAAGGGUCAAGAAAAGCUUGGUGCCUUGUUGUGGCGAAACCCUGGAUUGUCGGAAGAUUUCAAUAGCUGUAUUGACUUCAGCUUGACGCCGGAUGAGUUUGAGGCUGCAUGGACUGCUCUGAUGUUGAAGUAUGAGGUUAUGACUAACACACACUUUGAGAACCUAUAUAAAUACCAGGAAACAUGGGUUCCUUGCUACUUCAAACACCAAUUCUUCCCAUUCCUGCAGUCAACACAACACAGUGAGGGUUUCAACGCUGUCCUUAAGCAAUAUGUGAACCCACACAAUUCCAUUCUCAACUUCGUCAAGAAAUAUUAA